GGGUUACGGUGCCCAACU
rnacentral:siRNA from 1 species